UACCAGCACCCCUAGUGGUCGUGACGAUUAUUGGGCCUAAAGCAUCCGUAGCCGGUUUUACAAGUCCUCCGUUAAAUCCAGCUGCUUAACAGAUGGGCUGCGGAGGAUACUAUAAGACUAGGAGGCAGGAGAGGCAAGCGGUACUCAGUGGGUAGGGGUAAAAUCCGUUGAUCCAUUGAAGAACACCAGUGGCGAAGGCGGCUUGCCAGAAUGCGCUCGACGGUGAGGGAUGAAAGCUGGGGGAGCAAACCGG
rnacentral:rRNA from 1 species